AACUCAAAAGCUGCAAUUAGUUCACACAGAUGUUGGGGGACCUCAGAGAGUAUCAUCUUUAAAUGCAUUGGUGGAGAAUCAAAGUGAUUGCAGGUUGCAAACAAUAAGGUCUGACAAUGGGAAGGAAUA